ACGUGAUGCUUGUCAGGGUUGCCUAUGCGCUAAAGCCAUCCACUCUGGUACUGUUCUGAUAGUUCCUUCGUCUUGUACUCGCUGAGGCGCACCUUCGGCAUCUUGAAGACGUUGCAACCAUCUUUCUGUGACUGUAACUUUGCCGUACUUCGCAUGCAACUACUACAACCCACAACUGCACGCGCUUCCCCGAUUGCCAGCUCAUCUGGCUGUGACAACAAAACGGGUUGUACCUCAUUGCCACCAUUGGUGCAAGCUCCCUAUAGAAUGCUUCUGUGUCUUGCAUGUAUAUCUGUGACUGAAAAACAUUAUGCAAACUAUGCUCAUCUCACAAAUUGGUUGCAGCACUGUGGAGGCUGCAGGGUGGCUUUGCCAGUAGGAAGGGCGGAAAUUCCUGAAGAUGUGUUCAUCCAUGUUGCAUCAGCUGCUUGGUGUUUUCAUGGCAUCUCUGCACACGUGUUGGGUUGAUCUUAAGCAGAAAACCAGAAGUGGCAGUGGUCUCCAGAAGAGACCAAGGACCCCAAGCUCUCUCUGACACAAGCAGGAAGGGCACUGUGGUGCAUUGAAAACUUGCUCCAGUAGUGCAUUGCCAGUGCACUAUGCUGCUGUUUCAUCAAGGAGAAAGGAGGUGACCAGCCCGAGAGGAACUUCAUGCUCUACAGUAUGCCUACGGAGAACACCUCAAGGCGCAUCCAAGCAACGUCCUGGAGGCACAGCGCCACCGGAA